GAUCUGCCCUGCACUUCGGGAUAAGCCUGGGAAACUGGGUCUAAUACCGGAUAUACCUCAUGGAUCGCAUGGUUUGUGGGGGAAAGCUUUUGCGGUGUGGGAUGGGCCCGCGGCCUAUCAGCUUGUUGGUGAGGUUAUGGCUUACCAAGGCGACGACGGGUAGCCGGCCUGAGAGGGUGACCGGCCACACUGGGACUGAGAUACGGCCCAGACUCUACGGGAGGCAGCAGUGGGGAAUAUUGCACAAUGGGCGCAAGCCUGAUGCAGCGACGCCGCGUGAGGGAUGACGGCCUUCGGGUUGUAAACCUCUUUCAGCAGGGACGAAGCGAGAGUGACGGUACCUGUARAAGAAGGAMCRRCCAACUACGUGCCAGCAGCCGCGGUAAUACGUAGGGUCCGCGCGUUGUCCGGAAUUACUGGGCGUAAAGAGCUCGUAGGUGGUUUGUCGCGUCGUUCGUGAAAACUCACA
rnacentral:rRNA from 1 species